AUUGAACGCUGGCGGCAUGCCUUACACAUGCAAGUCGAACGGCAGCACGGGUGCUUGCACCUGGUGGCGAGUGGCGAACGGGUGAGUAAUACAUCGGAACAUGUCCUGUAGUGGGGGAUAGCCCGGCGAAAGCCGGAUUAAUACCGCAUACGAUCUACGGAUGAAAGCGGGGGACCUUCGGGCCUCGCGCUAUAGGGUUGGCCGAUGGCUGAUUAGCUAGUUGGUGGGGUAAAGGCCUACCAAGGCGACGCUCAGUAGCUGGUCUGAGAGGACGACCAGCCACACUGGGACUGAGACACGGCCCAGACUCCUACGGGAGGCAGCAGUGGGGAAUUUUGGACAAUGGGCGAAAGCCUGAUCCAGCAAUGCCGCGUGUGUGAAGAAGGCCUUCGGGUUGUAAAGCACUUUUGUCCAGAAAGAAAUCCUUGGCCCUAAUACGGUCGGGGGAUGACGGUACCGGAAGAAUAAGCACCGGCUAACUACGUG
rnacentral:rRNA from 1 species